GACAGAGGGUGCGAACGUUGUUCGGAAUUACUGGGCGUAAAGCGCAUGUAGGCGGCAGCGCAAGUCGGGCGUGAAAUCCCACGGCUCAACCGUGGAAGUGCACUCGAAACUGCGCAGCUAGAGUCCUGGAGAGGAGGGUGGAAUGCUUGGUGUAGAGGUGAAAUUCGUAGAUAUCAAGCGGAACACCGGUGGCGAAGGCGGCCUUCUGGACAGUGACUGACGCUGAGAUGCGAAAGCGUGGGGAGCAAACAGG
rnacentral:rRNA from 1 species